rnacentral:tRNA from 2 species
CGGGGCGUAGCUCAGUUGGUAGAGCGCACGGUUCGGGACCGUGAGGCCGAAGGUUCGAGUCCUUUCGCCCCGACCA